UACGGAGGGUGCAAGCGUUAAUCGGAAUUACUGGGCGUAAAGCGUGCGUAGGUGGUUCGUUAAGUCCGUUGUGAAAGCCCCGAGCUCAACUUGGGAAUGGCGAUGGAUACUGGCUCGCUAGAGUGCGGUAGAGGAGAGUGGAAUUCCCGGUGUAGCAGUGAAAUGCGUAGAGAUCGGGAGGAACAUCAGUUGCGAAGGCGGCUCUCUGGACCAGCACUGACACUGAGGCACGAAAGCGUGGGGAGCAAACAGG
rnacentral:rRNA from 1 species